CGCCGCGCCGCUCCGUGUUUUUCACCCGGCCUUUAAGUUCGCGGCCUCCGGCGCCGGCAAGUGCGCCACCUCUGCGGGGUGUCACGGUAACCUCUGUUCCUCUUCCGGCGACGCCUAUUCUCACGCGCAGCUCGAGUCUCAGUUAUCAAACAGGACACCCGAGGUAGCCCGCCUGGUCUUCAGCAGUUGGUACGCGCAUUGAUACGCGCCCGUGACAGUUGAGCUAAUCGAUAUCUUCAUAGACGUGACCCCGAACUCAGAAUAAAAGAAGCAAAUAUGUAUAGAGAGAAAGUCGCUCAACUUGGCAGCGCGCCCGCCCCUGAGAGUGGUCUGAUGUCCGCAGAGCUACGAGGAAACAACGGACAAGCAGCAGCAGCCAACAUUGACCUCGGACACACGGACCCAGUGGCGUAGGGCAGGAUGAAAAUAUCGAACGUCGAGAUCCUCAACAAUACGUCAACCAGACAACACGUGGAGGUCCCGGUAUCUUCAACAGAUAAUGCAAGGUGUCCCGUUGCGCAGUGGAAUCUUGGAAAUCAGUUUUGUCAAGAAUCUUCUCACGUCCCUUCGUUGUCACCUCCAUAACUGAAUGAAGAUAUACAUAAAUAUAACCGCAGUAAAUAUGUACAUACGCCCAAGGGCUCAAAACAGAAUGUGACAGAGGAAGGGGAAGACAUUUUCGGGUAUUAGAGGUGGAAUGGUUCACGUAGUAGUAACAAAAAAAAACUGGAUUUACUAAAAACAAAUUUUGAAUGAUACGUUUUAAAGAUAAAUUUAAAAAUUUCCUUAACUACAGGGACUUCAUCCUUGUUUUAUUUAUUUUUACACUUUGGAAGGGGACAGAUUCCCCUCUCCCCAGGGCCGGAUUUACAGGUCUGGAGGCCUCGGGGCAACAGAGGAGCGGAGGCCCCCUGGCCACAAAUUAUUUUCCAAUAAAAUGAAUAAUUUUUUUCAAUCAAGUUUUCCAAUAAAUAAUUUAUAGUGACAUCAAGUAGAUUCUCUAAGUAUUAAAUAAAACAUACAUAAUAUAAUCGGAGACAAGAAUUAUAUGAAAUUAAAUUUUAGUGUUAAUUAAUAUUUCUGUUAAUAUUUAACAAUAAUAUAAUCAUGUAUGUACAAAAUACUGUAGGUAAAGGUAAAACAGCGAAAAAAGAAUAUCAAAGGAUUUGUGGGGGCCCUCCGUUUGUGGAGGCCCCUGGGCUUUCGCCCCGGUUGCCCUCCCCUAAAUCCGGCCCUGCCCUCCCCCCAGCACCACCCUGGAUACGUCAAUAUGGAUAGGCGUGAUGUCACGAAUUUCAUUUUUUUUUUUUUUUAGGUCCAGCACCCGUUAAUUUUGAGAGUUUUUUUUUUAAACAGUUCACUAUAUUAUUGUAGUGGUUCUUUUUUCCUUAAGUGUUUUUUUCAGGAAUGAAUAUAGAAUUUUUCUGGACUAAAAUAAUCUUUAGCAAACAGGGCUUAUUAUUAGGUAGUUUAUUUUACGUCACGUAGCAUGGACGUAUGCGCGGUGGAUACACGCACAUGUUUCACAUGACGGAGGCAUGUAUGAAAGGAGAGCGGAGUGAUCGGUGCGUGCUGGAAGAAAGUAGGUCUUGGACUUGUUUUCCAUCAUCUUGACCUUUGGUGUCUUGCUGUAUACCGAUAUUGUAUCCCAGGAUCUGGCCACUAAAAUAUAACGAUAUCAGAUUUUU